AGUGAACGCUGGCGGUAGGCCUAACACAUGCAAGUCGAACGGCAGCACAGUAAGAGCUUGCUCUUACGGGUGGCGAGUGGCGGACGGGUGAGGAAUACAUCGGAAUCUACUUUUUCGUGGGGGAUAACGUAGGGAAACUUACGCUAAUACCGCAUACGACCUACGGUUGAAAGCAGGGGAUCUUCGGACCUUGCGCGAUUGAAUGAGCCGAUGUCGGAUUAGCUAGUUGGCGGGGUAAAGGCCCACCAAGGCGACGAUCCGUAGCUGGUCUGAGAGGAUGGUCAGCCACACUGGAACUGAGACACGGUCCAGACUCCUACGGGAGGCAGCAGUGGGGAAUAUUGGACAAUGGGCGCAAGCCUGAUCCAGCCAUACCGCGUGGGUGAAGAAGGCCUUCGGGUUGUAAAGCCCUUUUGUUGGGAAAGAAAAGAAGCAGGUUAAUACCCCGCUGUUCUGACGGUACCCAAAGAAUAAGCACCGGCUAACUUCGU
rnacentral:rRNA from 1 species